CAUGCAGGUGAUCGCCGUUGAAAGACGGUUUCCUCUUCGGAGGCACCUGCACAGGUGCUGCAUGGCUGUCGUCAGCUCGUGUCGUGAGAUGUUGGGUUAAAGUCCCGCAACGAGCGCAACCCUUAUCCCCAGUUGCCAUCAGGUAAAGCUGGGAACUCUGGGGAGACUGCCGGUGAUAAACCGGAGGAAGCGGGAUGACGUCAAGUCCUCAUGGCCCUUACAUCCCGGGCUACACACGUGCUACAAUGGCAGGUACAGAGGGCUGCGAAGCCGCGAGGUGGAGCGAAUCCCAGAAAACCUGUCUCAGUCCGGAUUGAAGUCUGCAACUCGACUGCGUGAAGUUGGAAUCGCUAGUAAUCGUAGAUCAGCAUGCUACGGUGAAUACGUUCCCGGGCCUU
rnacentral:rRNA from 1 species